ACGAAAUUGGCAGAAGCUUUAACAAACAGUGGUUUUUUGGCUUUCAUGAAAUUUCUGAACCUGCAGAUUCUCACACAUUUGCUUCAACUGAGGCUUCUGCAUCCAAUCUUGAACAUCUUUUCUUCUAUGAAUCCAUCUCCUUCAAUGAAUAUUACGACAUUUCAACUUCCUCCUUCAGAGAAAUGAUGGGCAAUUAUUGCUAUAAUACAACAUUGUCCCAAGAAGAAAUUUCCAAUAUUGAGAAAUCAACACAUGGUCAAGCUUCAAAUGAUGAUUGGAAAAAGCAUCGUAUGUAUCAAAUCACUGCACCCAACUUUUACUUUGCUGCUGUAAACUCUGCUGAACCUUCUUCCAAGCUUAAAUCUAUAUUUUAUAAAUCUUUCACAAUGGCUGCAACUUGCAAUGACCAGAAACACGAAGCACAUGUUGAAGAGCCUUAUAUAAUGCUACUGAAAAAUAAAGGUAUUGAUGCUCCUCAAGUUUCUGAAGUUGGUCGGCAAUUGUCUUCCUCAUCUUGGUGCUUCAUUAGAUGGUGAAGUCACUUACAAAAAUGAAACCUGGAGAUUUGAAAUCAAAUGUCCAUUUUCUGAGUUCAACAUGUCUCUUCAAGAAGCUCUGAAGAAUAAGAAGUUCUUUCUUGUUGAAGUUGGAGCAAGUCCAUCCAUUGACGAAGAGCAGGAGGAAGCAAGAUCAACAAAAGAGCCUGUUAAAUUAAAACCAAACAGGAAGAGGCAAAGCUGAAGAACAAUAUAAAUUGAUACAAGGUUUGGCACAAUCCAUUGCUGAGAGAAAAGCAAAGGCACAGAAAACCAGCAAACAGGCAGCUUGAUGCAUUUGGACAAUAUGUGACACAAACAUUAUCUGAACUUGACACUAGAGUUCAACAUUUGGCUCAACAUAAAAUCAAUCAAAUCCUUUCCAGGCACAAACUGGUUUAUUAGCUCAAGAAAACCCAUAUAGAUCUAUUGUGCCUCUACCACCACAACCACAUUUUUUCCAACGAGAUAAUUCCAGUUAUAGUAUGACAGGCAUAACCAAUCAGGCUGUAAGCACUCAUUCCCAGUUUAACAGUAAGGAGCCAUGUCCAUCAUCCCACUCUUCAUGCCAGACCUUUAGUGCCCCCGAAGACAUCUGGAGGUUUCAAAAUAUAAAAAGUGGUGACAUGCAAGCCGAUAAACAACUUUGAUUAAAAAUACUGUCCAUUGAAUGAUCAUUGCAAUAAAAAUAGAAAUAAUACGAUUUGCUUGUUUUAUUUAGAAUUUGAUUCCCUUCCAAUAAUCGUUAACGUUGUGUUAUAUAGAUUACACACCUUUAGAUAUUCAUCUUUCAGUUUCAUGUACAAUGCUUUACAAGUUUCCUCCACAAUUGAUGAAAUUGUCCGUUCUCCCACCCGAUACUGAAAGAACAGACUCCUGAAUGUCUCACCUAAAUUGAAUUGACAGGCCAUCAGUACUUUUUUAUAUUAAUUUGUUAAUUUUGUGCAAUAGGACCAAGUUUGCACCGGAAGGCGACUUUAGACAAAAUCUUGGGUACACUGACAGGAGUGGGUGCUAAAAAAUGGCCAAAUUUUUUCAGGUUUCCAUGGCUAACUACCUUUGAAAACCAAAUGUGAACUUUUUGUGAUAGCUUCUUUUUGAAUUAAGUGCUCCAAUGUCAUGACUUUUAAAGUGGAUUAAGCCAUUCAGCAGUGGGAUAGAUUUUAAGAGUUAUUGGAAGGAGAACUUCCCUCAUGAAAACUUUACUUCCAAAUAAACUUGAUAUGUGCUUAAUUGUGUACCCAACGUCCUGUCUAGGGGUGUGGAAUCACCUUAUGAUGGUAAUGGACAGAGAACCUGGGGUCAUAAACAAGGGUAAACAUAUGUAACCGUAUGCUUCAGACAGAAGGGCAAAUUCCUCUGGCUACUGAGCUUCAGUUAGCUGAAUUUAAUGCUUAGGACAUAUACACAACUUUACAAGAUUCUAGUUUAAAAAAGUUGCUUCUCAAGUUGCUUAAAUUUAAAAAAUAAUAGCCAGGCUCUAAUUUCUUCUUAGAUGCAAAAUGUUGCAAGGCUCAAAUGGUUUAGUAAAGGUUGGCAAAUUGCAACUCAAAUAUCCAUAACCUGACUGAAACAUCUGAAGAGAUACCUGUAGCAAGGAACUGCAGAGUCACUGAUAAGCGCUCAGACGGCUUUAUUUUACUUCUUAAAUGGGUUUCUUUCUUUGAAAUUAAUGGACUAACUAUAACCAAUAUUUCGUUAAAUUCUUCUCUAUUUACACGAUGAUUUUUAUGAAACAGUUCGGAAUCUUCACCGUUCAAUUCUCCAAUUAUAUUUGCAUGGGCUUCUCUUUUUUCUCUCCUCAAAACCCAGGGCCUUGACCAUUCCUGCCGAUUUGCCACUCGCAAACGCCUACGAUAUCGUCUCAUAAGCAACAUAAAAACAGAACCUCUUCCCUUUCACAAUUUUCAUCAGAAUAUCCUGCUAUUUUGUUGUAGUUUUUCCCAGGAAACGCAUGCGUUUUGUUGAGUUAUUCCAAGCUUGCUACUUCUGGUUCAGCGCACAUAGGAGAAAGUCACUCGUGGCGAAAAUUAUUCAACAUGUUGAAUAUUCAUGAGAUGACUCACAAGUGACGAAAACUCAUUAAAGUCCACCGCACACUAGUCCUUCCUGCUUAGCACGCAGUCAUGAAUGACUUUUUGCUCAGCCGAAAGCUCUAGUGUGCGCCAGGCUUAAGAGCAUUCAAAGAAAGGUGAGAAACUACUUCACAGAUUUUUCAUUCACAUCAAGCACAUUAAUUUUUAUUGUCAAUUAAAAUGACAAUAUUUGUAAUCCUUAUAGUAUUCACUUGUAUUUCUUCCUAGAUAAUUCAGAAGUAACAAAGCCAGAUCACAAUACACAAUGAUGUUAUUCAAUUUGUUAGAGGUUUUUAUGCCAGUGCUGAAGUGAUCAGUAGUAGUAGUAGUAAAUCAAUGUUUGGUAAAAAAAAUUGUAUAUCGAUUAGGGUACAUGGUGUGAAGGAAACGGUUCAAAAGAGGUUGAUCUUGUGCACUUUAGAAGAAGCAUAUUUGAAAUUCAAAGAAGAAAAUCAAGUAUCGAUUGGAUUUUCAAAUUUCUGUGAAUUGCGACCAAAGAAUGUUGUUUCAACAGGGGAUAGUGGAGCACAUAGUGUUUGUGUCUGUACCAUUCACCAAAACCAUAGCUGAUGCUGAUCAACCGACUUGAUGAUUUUUCAAAUGCCUGAAUUUAUAAGUUUGGUUGGUGACUGAUUUAAUAGAAGGUCAGCUACCAGCACUUGCUUUCUUGGGAACUGCAAAAACUGUUGAAAAACAGAACUGGCAGAAAUUUUUGAGCGAUUAGAUGCUGAGGAAAUAACUUUCAACUCAUGGAUAGGUGUUGAUCGAACAAGCCUUGAAACUUUGAAACUUCAACAAAAUCUACUUGUGAUUUCACAAAUUAUCUUCUUGAAAGUCUUUUAAAACUGAAGCGUCAUGAUUUUAUCACUAGAGUUCAAAGAAGCAAAAGAGAAAUUCAAGCCACAUGAAGCUAUAAUUCUUGGAGACAUCGCAGAAAAGUGUUCUUAUAUUAUGCAGGAUGCUGUACAAGGCUUCCAUUGGAAAAAUAGACAAGCCUCCAUUCAUCCUUUUGUUAUCUACUAUCGACAGAAUCCUGAUAGUCAGAUGGAAAUUUUUGUAGUUAUUUCUGACUGUCUCAGUCAUGACACAGCUGCAGUGCAUGCAUUUCAGCAGAAAUGAAUAAAACACUUAAAUGAAAAAAUGGAGUUGGACAAAGUUAUAAAACAGAAAAAAUAGAAAAGUUGUGAACACAGAAAAAAACUUAUUAAUCUGAUUUUCCAUGAAAAAGAUUUGGGCAUGCCUGCUGAAUGACACUUUUUUGCCAACAUCUCAUGGCAAAAGUCUCUGUGAAGGAAUAGGUGGUACUGUCAAACGACUUGCAGCACAGAAAAGUUUAAGCCGACCUUAUUCAAACCCGAUCCAGACUCCUCAACAACUUUAUGAAUGGGUGCAUCAUAGCAUUACAGACAGUUUUUGUAUAUGUUACUGAAGAGGAAAUAAAAGAAAAUGAAGGAAAAAAAUUGGAACACUAAAGCUUCAUUUUCUUAUUCCGGUCAAUGGAAGUACUACAGAAGUAUUGACAAAAGUGACAAAAAGCAACCUUGUCAGAUUUGGUUGAAAGAUAAGUUAUGUCUUGGCAGUUAUCCAUAGCUUGUGUUUCUGGUGAAAAGUGGUGGUUGACGUAUUUGUUAGAUAAAGUGUAUUAUAUCAAUGAAGUAAAGGUCAUAUUUCUCCACCCGGCAAGUCCUGUUCCGCCAUUUAUUUACCAGAGACUUUAAGUGACGGUGAAGCAUGCCAAGACCAUGAUGAAGAAAUCAAUGCUGCACAGAAAGAAUGUGGGCCACAAAGGAAAAGGGAAGAAAAGACAAGUUUAUCAAUAAGGGAAAAAGCACCCUUGCAAUAUUACAAGGAAGUUGUUAAGAAUUACAGCUGGAGUCCAGAAAAUUGUGAAGAUUUUCUCAAGCAAUUCAAGUGGUCUUCGAAGUUGCUGCUGCGCAAGUUUGUACGACUUCUUCCUACAGAGCAUGCUAAGCCAAUGGAAUCACAUGUCAGUCGCAAGCAAAUAGAACAAUGGUAACUAUAGUUAGAAACUUCAAAUAUGCAUAUCAAGGAGGGAGAAAUCGUCUUGUAGGACCUCAUUCGUAGUACAUCUCUCAGAUAUACUUGUAUAUCAAUCUUCCAAUUGUCACAAAAGCAACUUGUUGACAGACUGUGUUAGUUCAUUUUCCAACUAUUUCACUGACUUUAAAGAAUGGUCUUCAGGAUAGUUUUUUUGAUGCUUUGUUUCACUUGACUGGAGAAAUUGUUAAGGAGCUAGUCCUCAAGGUUUUUUAAGAUAUAGUGGAUAUGUACGGAUUUCCUGUUUUUGGAUUGCCCUAGACAAUUGCAAUAGGCAAAUUGCUGGUUUUGGGUACUUUCAUGCUUUGUUAAUAGUGUCAUGCUUGUUGCCCUUUUCUAAUUAUGUUCUGAAGGUAUCGCUAAAAUGUCCCACCCCAACUCCUUAAAACUGGAAGGGAACCACUUCAGGUUAAAGCUGAUGGUACCUGCUUGUAUCUAUCCUGUCAGCGUCAUUAUUUGGCGAUGAAAAUAAUUGGUGUUGGAUAAAGCUCUCCGCUUUGCGAUGUGGACAGAGACUUGAUAUCUUUAACUCAAAUAAAGGUAAAAUUGCAGCAGUGGAAAAAGUAAAACCAGAAAUGAGACCGUUGAGAGAAAAGGCUUCUGUAAAGAUUCCUUUCCAGCUUUUUGAUAUUGAAGACCAACAUGUGUUUGAAGUUGUUUUCCAGAAUGCAAGAUCACUUCAACUACAUAUCAAAGAUAUUUCUUGUGAUUAUAACAUUCAAUCUGCUGUGUUAUAACCAACAUUGCAGAAACAGCUUCAAUUCCACAUGACCAAAAAAUCAAUACAACUUUGCCAAGUUCAUAAUAUAUCGAAAUGACCACUACUCAACAACAAACCAAAGAAGACCAUAUGGGUUAGCAGUUUCUGUUAAAGAAAGCCUGCCUGCAUCAAUUUCUCCUUUCAACAGAAAUUGCAUUGAAUUAUCAGUCAUUCAUUUAACUGAUGAAGGUAAGAAUUUCUACAUUAUCUGUCUUCAUCGUUCAACAAUGCAUGCAUCAGUUACACAAUUGACAGAAGCCAUGGAACAUUUGCAUAACACCAUUCUCAAGACAAAGAAUAUCCACUUAUAAUUCUAGGCGAUUUUAAUGUUAAUCUUUUGACACUCUCUUCAGAAGCAUGUCACCUCACUUACUACAUCGUAGAUACACAAGGAUAUACUCAGUUGAUCAACAAAUACACAACUGAUAGCUGCUCAAUAAUUGACAAUAUGUAUACAGAUAAUCCUGAAAUGAUAACAAACUGUGGUGUCAUCGAAUUAUACUACACUGACCACAAGGCAGUUUAUGUUCCAAAGUAUUAAGUAUUAGUUCCAAAAGCUACAAUUAUAAAGAAAUCAACCACCAGUCAACUCAAAAUGAGCAAAUGCUGUUGAAUUACCAGUAAACAAUUCACCAAUCAUGGUAACAAUUUUUAAACUAUUUGCCUCUGUCAUUGAAAAAUGUCCACUCUUUCAAGUACAAAAUCACAAAGGCCUUAGAAUGUUUAUAAACAGUGUUCUCAAAAAUACUGACUAUUUAAUAAGCAUUCAACUUGGUCUUGAUACUUCACUUUUAGUUAUGUUCAGAAAUUCUUACAUCACUGAUUAAACAGUAUAUACCAAGAUACCUUUAGUUGCCUAUAUUUUAUCACUUCGAUUACUCAUAAAUAUACCUAUGUGGCAAGUUUAUAUAGUCUCAUUCAUCUUCAUUCUAAUUGGUCUGAAAAUUUAAGUAAGUAGGGUAUAAACUGUAAAUUUACAAAAACUUUUUAUCAUCUUAUCAGAUAUGGCAAGGUAAUGAAAUAAGAGCCUAGAAAUUAGAUAUUCCUUCAGCAUGGGGAUCGUGAGUUCUCAUAUUAGCAAUCCUUGUUCCUUCGUUUUAUAAAACAAGAUACUUGGGUUUCAAUUAAAAUUAACAUUAAAGCUGCCACUUAAAUUUAGAUCUUCCACACAUGAUAAUUAAUAUCUAUGCACAGUACAUUAAUUACUGGACAAUCAAAACAUAAUAAUGGUUUACAAGUGUAUCUUGACAGUCCAUUAUCAAAAUUAGAUAUUUAUUACCAGCUUAAUUUUUAAUAUGAUUGAUCUUAACUAAAAAUACAUUUCCUUAAAAUUCCCUAAUACAUUAGCCUAAAUAUAGAUUAUAAACACCAAAAGCAUCUUUAUCAAUUAUAGAAUAUCCAAUCUCAUUAGACUGUCUAAAAAUAAUCUGAAAAUAUCUCCAUCUAGAGCGAAAAGUACCGUAAACUUUUUCCUGAUGUUGCAAUGUUCAAUACGAUUUAUAACAUCAUCAAAAACCCAAUUAUAAUUACUCAUACCACCUAUCUCUAUAUAAACUGCGAUCUUUCCAACCCAAACAAUCAUAGGCAUCCUUUCAAGUCUCAGGAAGAGGUCGCCAUUAACGAAAAACAGUUCAAGCUCAAUUGGCCCGGGGUAAGUGUGCGAGACCAUAUUUUACUACCAUUUUAUAUCAAACUUUGACCUUUCUCCAUCAAUGACUUUGCUCCUGCGAAGUAACUGUCACUUAUCCUCGUCUUGCACUGCUCUCGGCUCUGUCAAAUCCAUUGACUGAGAACUUAUACUCCAUUUUUUAACAAUUAAAAUCAUUCUGUACGGUUUCUAAAUUUUAAUACAAAUUGAUUUACAUAUUUUUAAUACAAACGGCACUCACAAUUUUAUUAAAGUUUCAGAUCCUAAAUUAUGAUAACAUAGUUACUAGCAAUGGUGUAGUGCUAUCAAAGUAACAAGAAGAGCUCAUGCACAUAAUGUUCUCAAAAACAAUAACAAAAGUAAAAUUUUGGCAAAUUUCAGGCUUUAACAAGGGAACUCAGCACCCCUGCAAUACACUCUUUAUUACAACACCUUUCAAAAAUCACUUAUAACAAAUACUUGUCUUCUCUCUUUGAUUAUCAAAUUUUUAUAUUUCUAGUCAACAUGAGUUCAGCACAGCAAAAGAAAAAGUUUCUUCCAAGCAGUAAUACAAGCCCAUUCCAGUUUCCUCCCAGCCAAAGUUAUUCAGGAUAUAUAACUAAUGUCUCCGAAGAAAUGGUCACAACUCCAGGAAAUCCCUAUUUUACAAUUCAAUUAAAAGUUUCCGCAACGGAACAGAUAGCAGUGAGAGAAAUGAAGAAAUGGAACAAAGAUGUAAGCUGGGACAUCUUCAUCCAAAAACAAAAUGAAGGUGACUCUGUCACUUCAUCAAAUAUCUCCUUCUUCAAUUCCUCUCAGGGAAGUGACCUCCUCAAAUAUUCCUCAAAACUAAACUUUAAUCGUUCUUAUCAGUUACCACCAACUGUCCAAGAAAUGAAAAAACAAACUUCAGGCCUCCAUUCUGUCCAGGGACAGUUACAGUGGAUCGGGGAAAACAAGUUAAUGAACUAUCCCAACCAAAAUACAUAAGGGAUGCGGUUCUUUCAGACCGCUCUGGCCACGUUCAGAUUUCGUUUUGGAAUGCACAAAUAGAGCAAAUAGAGGAGCUUCAUACUUUAAACAUCAGCCACGUUGCUGUUAAGCAGUACCGUGGCAUAAAAUUAUCAACAGCAAACGUGACAAUCAUAACAAAAAUUGACAGCGAAGAAACCUUCAUUUGGGAAUUUGUGGAUAUGGAAACAUACUUGUCAGAUGCCGUAGUUGAAAAGAAGAUGUUUUGCCCAGCUACUUAAGUUUCCCUUACCAAUAUAUGUGUAAACAAAAAUUGCACAAGAAAAUUAGCAACUACAAGUACCGAAAAGUUCAUAACGUGCCCAUUUUCCACUCACUGCAUGCCAAUUGCAAAAAGCCCCCUGACCUUAACGUGUGAGAUAACCAUUUUAACAAACAAUCAUCAAAUCUCUUUAAAUGCUACAGCUGAUGUCUUGGCAAGAUUUUUGGAAACAGAUGUUGCCCAAACAUACAAAGAAUUUCUUCGGAGCUCAAAGAUAAAAUUCUAGAGCUUGAACAAAUCGAUAUAAACUAUAACAGUAAAAACAACCAAAUUAACCGAAUUUCUCAUCAUCAAUGCUGAAUUGCUCCAUUUACUUGACACCAUAUUUUUUUGCCAGAUAAUGUCUUUAGUUAUAUAAUUACAACUCCUGUAACGAUAAAUGUUGCAUUUUUUCUUAAAACCAUGUUAUCCAAUCAGCUUAUUGACUGAACUAAACUGGAGAAUUGUUUCCUUCUUUCUGAUUACCAUGACUUCUCCUAAACAAAUACUUGCCCACUAACCAAAAACACCCAUAGAUAACAACAAGAAUUUGAUAAACGUUAACAAUAGCAGGGAAGAGCCAGACCAUAAAGCAGACCAUAAAGCGAUAAGGAUAAACAAUGAAAUAUUUUUCUCUAUAUGCCGUAAACAACCAAACAACGUCGAUGUGAUUGGUUGCGAACAAAAACUUUGCUACUCGCAUUAAUGUCUAUGUAAAGACAAUUGUUUUCCGAACCAUGUAAUACUCGCAAAUUGAAUUUGGUUAUGGCAUAAAAUACAUAUGAUCAUUUCACAAUAAGAACAAAACAACUACGACCUACAAUAAUGAACCGUAUUCGAUCUUUUUUUUUUUGAAUAACUAGAUCAACCUCGACCUAUCCAAAAACAUAACAGAUUUUUACGAAAUUAACAUUUCAAGUAAACUUUUACUUUGCUAGAGAACUAUCAAGAAAAUUUCCCUUCUAAAUGAAAUAAUUACACUUCCUGUAAUUUUAACUUAUUCUCUCCAUCUAAUACAUUUCCAAACAGCUCAAAUUGUUAAAUUAAUUGUCUUUUUAGUAAUUUCCGUAAUGCCGUCUUUUUUUGAUUUUUUUUUAAAUUUGUGCUUUUUUAUGUAGAUUCGAUUUAUUUGUAGUACUCAUUAUCAAUUAAUAAAUGCGUUAUUUCUUUCUAAUUGGAAGGUAUUCUUUGGAUUUGAGUUUACAUUAAAGACUAAAACAGUUUAUAUAUCAAUUUUGAGAAAAAGCUAUUUUGUGUUUAAUAAACUCCCUUUUUGUCUUCCCUGCUGUUCUUUCACAGAUGAGCUCGACUGCUAUCCUCAUUUUAGAAUUAUGAUCAUUAUAAUCAACCACAAACAUCAUCAAAAAUAAUAAUAAUGCUGCACUAGAAUGCUAUCCAUCUUUUGUCGUCGUCUUUAUCUUCGUUUGCGUCAUCAAAAUCAUGGAAACAUUUUCAUUUUGAAUUCUCAAACAUUACAGUUACAAAGCUCACAAGAUAAGGUACUUUGUAUAUGGCUUGCCUUCAGCUGUUACACUAAGACAUAACAACAGAAAGAUAAACUGACAAUAGAGAAUAACAAAACAUUAUGUAUGUAUGUAUAAUUUUAUUACAUUUAUUACAAUUUAAAAUUAAUGAAAACGAAAAAAGAUCUAAUUACAGAUAUAUAAAAUUUAGAGAUAGAAGUCAAAAACGUAGACUAAAAACACCCCAGGUUAAAAAUCGCAGGGAUAGCAUUAAAAAGGUCAGUACGAACUUGUUUCCAUCAUGCAGAGGUAUUUUAAAAAGGAAAUGUGUUCAUGAAAAAUUGGUUGUAUCCAAAACUAGAAAAAAGUAAUUCUGGAAAAUUGUUAACUAGAACGUUGGCUGAAUUUGGGUUAUCAAUAAAUUAUGUAGAGGCUAUCCUCCUCACCUUGUAGAUCAUCAAAGAAUUCAUCUUCGAUCUUGUGUUUGAAACUAUUGACAUUUUUUGGAGAUUUUAGUUUUGACGGUAGAUUGUUCCAAAUUUUGGGACCUAGAUAUGAGAGGCAACUUUUCCCUGAGUUUUUCUUUCGGAAAGGUUGAUUCAGUUUGUUUUUAGAUCUUCGAGUGAUUUUGUUCUGGUCAACUGGUAAGAACAUCUCUGACAUGUAUGUAGGGUGGGGCUGAAUUAUCAAAAAUUUGAAAACCUUCCCAGUCAUACAUUCGUUUAAAAGAUAGAAGCUCUGGGUUGUCCCAUGUUUGGUUACGCCGGCAAAAGAUGUAGUAGGUAAUAAUAAAAAUAAAAAUGAUAAUGGUUGAUAAUGAUAAUAAUUUUUUUUUAAACAUCUCAUUUUCAUUGAAUACAUUUUAAAUUUACAAUUAUACGACUCGCUUUUACAGGCAUCAUAUAAUUGGCUUAUCUGCAUUACAAUAUUUAAAAGUCAAUUAGUUCGGGCCUUAGCCAUGGUUUGUUUCGACGACAGAAGAUAUAGUAGGUGCAGCGGAUAGAAAUUAAUUAUAAUAAUAAUAAUAAUAGAAGAAGGAAAAGGAAGAAAAAGUUGAUGCCUACACAGAUCUUAAAGUUUGAAAUUCGAAAAUUCUUAAAGUUUGGAGAGAGGAAGUGAAGAAAGUCGUUAUAGUUCCAGUUAUAAUUGGUGCAUUAGAAUCUGUAACAGGAAGACUCCAGAAGGAAUUGGAAAAACUUGAUUACAGAAAAGGUCUUGAAAUCAUCCAGGAAGCAUGUUUAUUGGGAUCUGCAAGAAUAAUCAGGAAAGUGCUGGACACUCCAGGAAAAGACUGAAAAGAAAUAAGGAUGAAACUCAGAUGGAGCACUCACUAUCUCAGGAUCUGAAACAGAACUUGAUAGUGUUUAAAUCCAGUAUCUAAUGCUGUGUACAUUUGCAAUAAUAACAAUUAUAAUAAGACAAGUGGUAUGAGCACAAACCCGAGAAAGUGACUGAAAAAGAAACUGCCACUAUAUUAUGGGAGAUGCCUGUAAACACAGACAAAGAGAUAAAAGCCAACAGAUUUGACAUAAAUAUCAAAGAUAAAAAGAAAAGACAUGCAUUAUGAUUGACAGGAGUAUACCAUCUGAAAGAAAUGUUUCAAUUAAAGAAGUAGAGAACCUAUCCAAGUAUAAAGACCUUGAAAUUGAAGUGACAAAAAUGUGGGAAAUGAAGACAUCCACAGUUCUAAUUGUAGUGGGAGCACUUGGGCUUGCAAAGAGAGGCCUUGAGAAGUACGCAAGUCAAAUCCCUGGCCACAUACAGAUUGAAGAAUUGCAGAAGAUUGCUCUCCUCGGAAGCGCCCACAUCCUGAGAAGAACAAUGUCUAUCAAGUGAACACUGCUGUUUCCUUAGAGUCAUGGAGUGACCUUGGCACAGUGGUGACAACUGUACAGCAUUAUAAGCAAAGAAAAAGUAAUAAUAAUAAACAUUAUCAUCGUCAUAAUCAACAUCAUCAUCAUCAUCAGUUUUGUCAUCAUGAUAUUGCAAAGUUCAAGCACAUUAUUCUGAAAAGUACAUCAUACAAGAAAUUGAAAGCUUUCCAGUUCUUUCAAGAAGGGUUUAUAAAGAAGAUUGAAGUUGCAACAGAUAACAACUUUUCUUAUUUUGAUUCAAAGCUUCAAUGAAGAAGUGUUUAUACAAAAUUAUUUUACAAUUGUCAGUCAAGUCUAGCAUGUUUGCUCUCCUGCAUGUACUUGUCUUGCUGGUAUUGGUCUUCGUGGUUUUUGCAACUGUAACCAUGUUGGAGGUGUUCUCUUUGCUCUUGAAGACUUCAACAGACGUGGUUUACGAGAGUAUCCAUCUGCUCUAACAUGGACUUCAAAGCUGUCUUUUUGGAAUGUUUCAAAUUCAUCUGCUCUUAAAUCCAUCAAUCCCUUUCCAAUAGAUGAAGUGAUAAUCAAGUUCAAGUUUGGAAAUACAAACAAUCAAGUUUAGAAAGGACAAUGAUAAAAGUAAUUUGUCUCGCUAUAAAUUCUUUGAUCCACAUGCUCCAUUUGAUAAAGCUAUCGAUGAUAAAUAACUUGAAGCACUUAAAACGUAAUUGGCAGAAGCUUUAACAAACAGUGGUUUCUUUGGCUUUCAUGAAAUUUCUGAACCUGCAGAUUUGAAUAUCCAGUCUUUUCUUCUAUGAAUCCAUCUCCUUAAAUGAAUAUUCUGAUAUUUCAAAUUCCUCUUUCAAAGAAAUGAUGGACAUUUAUUGCUUAAAUACAACAUUCUCCCAAGAAGAAAAUUCCAAUAUUGAGAAAUCAACACAUAGUCAAUCGACAAAACUUUUACUCUGCUGCUGUAAACACUGUUGAACCUUUUUUAAAGCUGAACUCUAUGUUUUAUAAAUCUUUCCCAAUGGCUGCAACUUGCCAUGGCCAGAAACACAAAGCACAUGUUACAGAGCUUUAUAUAAUGCUACUGAAAGAUAAAAGUAUUGAUGCUCAAGUUUCUGAAGUUGGUCUGCAAUUGUCUUCCUCAUUUUCUUAUCUUGGUGCUUCAUUAGAUGGUGAAGUCACUUACAAAAAUUAAACAUGGAGAUGCGAAAUCAAGAAGCUCUAAUGAUGAGAAGUUAUUUUUUGUUGAAGAUGGUGGUAGUUUUAAGCUGAAGCGCAAGCAUGCAUACAUCCACCAAGUUCAAGGCCAAUUUUUGGAGGUGUAGAUCGUUGUGACAUGUUGUUGGCACUUUAUAGAAGAACACUUGGAACCAAAAAGUGGUAUAUGCAUGAAUUAUAUCACUGCAUUGGCCUCAGCAUUGUGAAUUCGUGGCUGUGUUACCACUGUCACUGUGAUCAAAAGAGGGUCCCGAGGAAAAAAAUUAUGUUGCACUUUCAGACAAGAGUUGCCAAUGGCCUGCUGUUUGUAAACAAAUAGAUAGAUAGAUAAACUUUAUUUACAGAGGAUAAACCUGGUUAGCCUUAUAACUAAUCUUCCCCAGGGUCCUCUCUUCUAACUACGCAAUAAAAUAUAAUACUUUAAUUUUAAAAGAAAGUGUCCUUUAAGUUUCUAAAAAGCCUAGUAACAAUUUUGUUUAAAGUAAAGUUUAAGUAUUUAAAUCUGAAACGUUGAGGUAAUGCUGAUACGCUUUUCUCUUGAAAAUUCUCAGUGAUGUUGACUGUCUAAUGUUGAGUGGAAGUUCAUUCCAUAUUUUACUUCCUUUUAUUGAUAUUGACUGAUCAACCUUUUUCAGUUUUGAUCUGGGCACAUACAAGUUUUUGUGUGAUGAACUUCUCGUCAAUCGCUG